GCAUUUACUUGGAUAUUAUUGAUAGUGGGUGGAGAUGUUAUUCCUUGAGACUUAACAUUUCAGUCUCUGUUGAAGGUAAUUCAGUUAGCUUCCACGGGUUUGAAGAGGUGCUUGAGGACUGGACAAAGACUACAUCUCCAAUAAUGAACCAUCAGCCAAGCAAAUGUUAUGUCAAGAAUGAAGAACCUCAUUUACAGAUGAGCAACGCAUUGCUUCCAUCACACCAAACCAAUAAUGUCCAGAUAACCAUGCACAAGCCAAGAAAUGGUGUAAUGACUCACUACCGCAACAAUAUGCAGAAUGGCAUUCAAACAUAUUCUAUGGAAAUCCGGAAGAAUGGCAGAACUGUUGCCCGUGAAGAAGUCAAUAUUUAUUCAACAAAUUAAAAGUUCGAUUUUGUUUUGGAACUAGAUUACAGUAUUCCAUCUGAAAUACAAAGAAUAUUCAUUUUGAUGGGUCUCUUUUAAUAUAACCUAGAUGAUUUUUGUUAUCAAUAUGAAUCAUUAAUAUAGGAUGUAAAAUGUAACAUCUAAGAUUUAAAAGAAAAAAUUAUGUAAGAAACGCUGAACUGCUUCAAGAGUAUACAGUGUUAGCAGAUAAAACAUGCUGUUAAUCUUCAAUAAUUUUGCCUAUUUUGUGAACAAUUUGAAGUGAAACUGAAUAAAUGGCCAAAUCAAACUAA